ACUCCAGGGGGUAGAGCACUGUUAUGGCUAGGGGGACAUGGCGUCUUACCAAACCAUGGCAAACUCCGAAUACUUGGAAGUUGAGCACGGGAGACAGAGCACCGGGUGCUAACGUCCGGACUCAAGAGGGAAACAACCCAGACCGCCGGCUAAGGUCCCUAAUAUUGUCUAAGUGGAAAACGAAGUGGAAAGGCUAAAACAGUCAGGAAGUUGGCUUAGAAGCAGCCAUCCUUUAAAGAAAGCGUAAUAGCUCACUGAUCGAGUCUUUCUGCGCGGAAGAUGUAACGGGGCUAAGACAAUAACCGAAGCCGCGGAUUCACACGUAAGUGUGAGUGGUAGGGGAGCGUUCUGUAAGCCUGCGAAGGUGGCUUGUAAAGGCUGCUGGAGGUAUCAGAAGUGCGAAUGCUGACAUGAGUAACGUUAAAGUGGGUGAAAAGCCCACUCGCCGUAAGCCCAAGGUUUCCUGCUCUACGUUCAUCGGAGCAGGGUGAGUCGGCCCCUAAGGUGAGGCUGAUAAGCGUAACUGAUGGGAACAAGGUUAAUAUUCCUUGACCGCCGUUGAGUGCGAAGGGGGGACGGAGUAUUGAAGAUCAUCCGGGUGUUGGAUAUCCCGGUUUGCGCGCGUAGGAGGCUGAUAGGCAAAUCCGUCAGCGAAUCUCCGAGGCAAAGCAUCGAGACCUUUUAGGUCGAAGUGAUUGGAUGUGCUCCCAGGAAAAGCCUCUAAGCUCCAGCUCAACGGGACCGUACCGCAAACCGACACUGGUGGGCGAGCUGAAUAUGCUCAGGCGCUUGAGAGAACUCAGGAGAAGGAACUCGGCAAAUUGACACCGUAACUUCGGGAUAAGGUGUGCCUUUGUAGUGUGAAGGAAGAAACAUCCGGAGCAUGAAGAGGUCUCAGAGAAUUGGUGGCUGCGACUGUUUACUAAAAACACAGCACUCUGCAAAGACGAAAGUCGACGUAUAGGGUGUGAUGCCUGCCCGGUGCUGGAAGAUUAAUUGAUGGGGUGCAAGCUCCUGAUCGAAGUCCCAGUAAACGGCGGCCGUAACUAUAACGGUCCUAAGGUAGCGAAAUUCCUUGUCGGGCAAGUUCCGACCUGCACGAAUGGCAUAACGAUGGCCACACUGUCUCCUCCUGAGACUCAGUGAAGUUGAAGUGUUUGUGAUGAUGCAAUCUCCCCGCGGCUAGACGGAAAGACCCCAUGAACCUUUACUGUAGCUUUGCAUUGGACUUUGAACCGAUCUGUGUAGGAUAGGCGGGAGGCUGAGAAGCGGUGACGCUAGUCAUCGUGGAGCCGUCCUUGAAAUACCGCCCUGAUUUGUUUGAGGUUCUAACCUAGGUCAGUGAUCCUGAUCGGGGACCGUGCAUGGUAGGCAGUUUGACUGGGGCGGUCUCCUCCUAAAGGGUAACGGAGGAGUGCGAAGGUACGCUAGGUACGGUCGGAAAUCGUGCUGAUAGUGCAAAGGCAAAAGCGUGCUUGACUGCGAGACCCACAAGUCGAGCAGAUACGAAAGUAGGUCUUAGUGAUCCGGUGGCUCUGUAUGGAAGGGCCAUCGCUCAACGGAUAAAAGGUACUCCGGGGAUAACAGGCUGAUACCGCCCAAGAGUUCAUAUCGACGGCGGUGUUUGGCACCUCGAUGUCGGCUCAUCUCAUCCUGGGGCUGUAGCCGGUCCCAAGGGUAUGGCUGUUCGCCAUUUAAAGAGGUACGUGAGCUGGGUUUAAAACGUCGUGAGACAGUUUUGUCCCUAUCUGCCGUGGGCGCUGGAAGAUUGACGGGGGCUGCUCCUAGUACGAGAGGACCGGAGUGGACUCACCUCUGGUGUACCGGUUGUCACGCCAGUGGCAUCGCCGGGUAGCUAUGUGGGGAAAGGAUAACCGCUGAAAGCAUCUAAGUGGGAAACCUGCCUGAAGAUAAGUCUUCCUGGAGGCUUGACCUCCCUAAAGAGUCGUUCGAGACCAGGACGUUGAUAGGUUGGGUGUGUAAGCGCUGUAAGGCGUUAAGCUAACCAAUACUAAUUGCUCGUGCAGCUUGAUCC
rnacentral:rRNA from 1 species